rnacentral:rRNA from 1 species
UUUAUUUGAGAGUUUGAUCCUGGCUCAGGACGAACGCUGGCGGCGUGCCUAAUACAUGCAAGUUGAGCGCUGAAGGUUGGUACUUGUACCGACUGGAUGAGCAGCGAACGGGUGAGUAACGCGUGGGGAAUCU